rnacentral:rRNA from 1 species
UACGUAGGGGGGCAAGCGUUGUCCGGACUUAUUGGGCGUAAAGAGCGUGUAGGCGGCUUUACAGGUCCGUUGUGAAAACUCGAGGCUCAACCUCGAGACGCCGGUGGAAACCGUAAAGCUAGAGUCCGGAAGAGGAGAGUGGAAUUCCUGGUGUAGCGGUGAAAUGCGCAGAUAUCAGGAGGAACACCCGUGGCGAAAGCGGCUCUCUGGGACGGUACUGACGCUGAGACGCGAAAGCGUGGGGAGCAAACAGG